UCGAGCGCGCCUUUCGGGGUGAGCGGCGGACGGGUUAGUAACGCGUGGGAAUAUACCCUUUGGUACGGAAUAGCCUCUGGAAACGGAGAGUAAUACCGUAUGAGCCCUUCGGGGGAAAGAUUUAUCGCCAAAGGAUUAGCCCGCGUUAGAUUAGGUAGUUGGUGGGGUAAUGGCCUACCAAGCCUACGAUCUAUAGCUGGUUUUAGAGGAUGAUCAGCAACACUGGGACUGAGACACGGCCCAGACUCCUACGGGAGGCAGCAGUGGGGAAUCUUGGACAAUGGGGGCAACCCUGAUCCAGCCAUGCCGCGUGAGUGAUGAAGGCCUUAGGGUCGUAAAGCUCUUUCGCCUGUGAAGAUAAUGACGGUAGCAGGUAAAGAAACCCCGGCUAACUCCGUGCCAGCAGCCGCGGUAAUACGGAGGGGGUUAGCGUUGUUCGGAAUUACUGGGCGUAAAGCGCACGUAGGCGGACCAGAAAGUUGGGGGUGAAAUCCCGGGGCUCAACCCCGGAACUGCCUCCAAAACUAUUGGUCUAGAGUUCGAGAGAGGUGAGUGGAAUUCCAAGUGUAGAGGUGAAAUUCGUAGAUAUUUGGAGGAACACCAGUGGCGAAGGCGGCUCACUGGCUCGAUACUGACGCUGAGGUGCGAAAGUGUGGGGAGCAAACAGGAUUA
rnacentral:rRNA from 1 species